rnacentral:lncRNA from 1 species
GCGACCAAAGUGAGAUAUUAGUUUCAAUCAACAUGGCUGCUACUACAAUGAAAGCUUCAUUUCCACUUUUGAUGCUAAUGGGAAUUUCUUUCCUAGCAUCAGUGUGUGUUUCUUCUAGGUCUGAUCCUCAAAAUCCUUUUAUCUUCAAGUCUAACAAGUUUCAAACUCUUUUUGAGAAUGAAAAUGGGCACAUUCGACUUCUGCAGAAAUUUGACCAACGUUCUAAAAUUUUCGAGAAUCUACAAAACUACCGUCUUUUGGAAUAUAAGUCCAAACCUCACACAAUAUUUCUUCCACAGCACACCGAUGCCGAUUACAUCCUUGUUGUACUCAGUGGUAAUUUAUUAUUUAUCAAGUUAAAUAUUUAAAACUAAUCACUCAUAGUUCAUUCAAAAAGAACGGUAUUUAUUAUUUUGAGGAGUGCUAGUAACACUCUCUUUUCAACACUCUCAAACACUCACUUUUUUAUUGGUUGAAACAUGUGUGGGUCCCUCGCUUUGGAAAUAGGUCCCACAUAAAGUGGUAAGAGUCACACAUAUUUCAACAAAUGAAAGAGUGUGUGUUUGAGAGAGUGUUGAAAAGAGAGUAUUAUUAGCAUUUCUCUUAUUACUUUACAUAUUUGUUUUGUAAGGAUAAAUUAAAUUCAGUUAUAAAAUCUAAUGUCAUUGUAAUUUUCAGGAAAAGCUAUACUCACAGUGUUGAAACCCGAUGAUAGAAACUCCUUCAACCUUGAGCGCGGAGAUACGAUAAAACUUCCUGCUGGCACAAUUGCUUAUUUGGUUAACAGAGAUGACAACAAGGAGCUUAGAGUAUUAGAUCUCGCCAUUCCCGUAAAUAGACCUGGCCAACUUCAGGUAAUAUAACCAAUGUUUACCUAUUCUCAUAUCAAAUAUGCUAUGCAUUCUAAUGUACAAACAAAUUUAGGGGCCUCUACCAUAACAUCACAACAAAAAUUGCGCCUGUACAUAUUUUUCUGUAAUGUUUCCCUAAUAUUUUCUUUAUUUUUUUUGUCCUUUUCAACAGUCUUUCUUAUUGUCUGGAAAUAAAAACCAACAAAACUACUUAUCUGGGUUCAGUAAGAACAUUCUAGAGGCUUCCUUCAAUGUAAGCAUAACACACAUUUUUUUUUCAUUUAUGUAUGUAUUAGUUUGGUAUUGUAUAUGUUAAUACUCACUUUGUCAAUGUAUGUACUGUAAAAAAAUAUAGACUGAUUAUGAAGAGAUAGAAAAGGUUCUUUUAGAAGAGCAUGAGAAAGAGACACAACACAGAAGAAGCCUUAAGGAUAAGAGGCAGCAAAGUCAAGAAGAGAAUGUAAUAGUAAAAUUAUCAAGGGGACAAAUUGAGGAAUUGAGUAAAAAUGCAAAGUCUACCUCCAAAAAAAGUGUUUCCUCUGAAUCUGAACCAUUCAACUUGAGAAGUCGCGGUCCUAUCUAUUCCAACGAGUUUGGAAAAUUCUUUGAAAUCACCCCAGAGAAAAAUCCACAGCUUCAAGACUUGGAUAUAUUUGUCAAUUCUGUAGAGAUUAAGGAGGUAUGAUAAAAUUAUUUUAUAAUAUAGGAAAUUUACCAAAUUACACAAUGAGAUUUCACUUGAUCAAAUUACAAUUGUUCUAAAUGAUUUGAUUUUUGUCCUUUGAAGUUAUAAUGUCAAACUUUUGUUACUAACUUGACAUCUCAUACACGUCAAGUUUUACAUACUCAAUAACAAGUUUUAUUUAUAGAACAUAUAUCUAAUGUAUUUAUUUAAUUAUUCUUUCAAAUUAAAUAUUAGGGAUCUCUAUUGUUGCCACACUACAAUUCAAGGGCCAUAUUAAUAGUAACAGUUAACGAAGGAAAAGGAGAUUUUGAACUUGUGGAUCAAAGAAAUGAAAACCAACAAGAGCAGAGAAAAGAAGAUGACGAGGAAGAGGAACAAGGAGAAGAGGAGAUAAAUAAACAAGUGCAAAAUUACAAAGCUAAAUUAUCUUCAGGAGAUGUUUUUGUGAUUCCAGCAGGCCAUCCAGUUGCCGUAAAAGCUUCCUCAAAUCUUGAUUUGCUUGGGUUUGGUAUUAAUGCUGAGAACAAUCAGAGGAACUUUCUUGCAGGUAUAUUAUAUUAUCACCCAGUCUCUGUCACUAUUUAUUCAUUUUAAGUGUGUAUUUUAAAAGUCGACUUCUAUUUAAAUCAAGGGGAAAAUAUUAAGAUAUGCUUAUUAUUUUGGUGAUUAAAAAUUUGAAGGCGAUGAGGAUAAUGUGAUUAGUCAGAUACAGCGACCAGUGAAAGAGCUUGCAUUCCCUGGAUCAGCUCAAGAGGUUGAUAGGAUACUAGAGAAUCAGAAACAAUCCCACUUUGCAGAUGCUCAACCUCAACAAAGGGAGAGAGGAAGUCGUGAAACAAGAGAUCGUCUAUCUUCAGUUUGAAAUGUUUCUUAAUGAGUGGACAAAAUACUAUGUAUGUAUGCUAUCAAGAGAUAUAUCUCACGGGGAGCAAUGAAUAAAACAAUGUUAUCUUAUAACUAUAAUUAUAUAUCCACUUUUCUACUAUGAAUAAAUAAAUCAAGAGUAUUUUGGUGUUCCUCUUAGAUAUUAUAUUAUUUUAAGAAAGUCAAUAACUAAAAGUACAAAACACUCAUUAAAUUUAAACUAAUGUAAAGACUUAAUAUCUCAUAUCCAUGAUUCAUGAUAUACAAUCAUCAAUCAAUUAAUAGAAUUCAAAAGAAUAUAUUUGGGGUUGCUCUUGUAAGUUAGCAACAUUUAUACUUGGGGUUGGGGUACUAGAGAAAUUGGUCAAAAUAAAGAAAAAUAAAAAUAAAAUCUAGGUGUUAAGAAUGACUUCUUCAAAAAAAUUGUUAAAAAGAAAAGGAAUGCAAGCUAGUGGGAUACACUGACUCAUGUUGGUAUGGUGAUGCUGAUGAUAGAAAAUGUGUUUAUACUAUGUGGUGCACCAGUUGCUUAGAGCUCAUGAAAAGAACCAGUUGUAGCUCUGUCAUCAUGUGAGACUGAUUACAUAGUUGCCUUUCUUUGUGCAUGUCAAGCAACAUGAAUGGUAAAUUUGAUCGAAGAGAUUAUAGGUCAAAAUCAUGAAGCAGUAAUCAUGAAGAUUGAUAACAUUUUUGCUAUAAAUUUGUCCAAGAACCCAAUAUGAUACGGAAGAAGAAAACACAAUGAGAUGAGGUUCCAUUAUCUUAGAGAGAAAGUAUCAAAUGUGAAAUUUUGUUUCUCAUAGGACAGAUGUUGGACACGGUGUUGGGACAAUUGAUCCAACUUGUUAAAACCAUUAAGACAGUAAUAUAAUAACAACAGUAACACGAAUUGAGAAUUUCAAAAACAGAGAUCCAAGUAUAAAAAAAUACGAAAAAAUCAUGUGAAACCUAAAUGAAAGAAAGCGUAGGAAUAACUAGGGAUGGAGCCAGGAAUUCUAAAUAGUGUGGGCAAAUUUAUAAAUUUAUUACGAGAAAAGUAUAAUAUAUUAUUUAUAAAGAAAUAUUAUUUUAUUUUUUAAAGUUUUUUAAUGAUUUAAAAUUAUUAAUGGUUUCUUAAUUUUCUACUUAUAAUUAUAUAACAUAUUUUAUCCUCACCAAUCAAUUGAUAGUUCAUAGAUUAUUAACUUUUCUUUAAUUCUAAAAUUAUAGAAUUAAAAGGAUAAGAUAAUAAUAUCCAGACUAUUAAUUUUUUUUUAUCAAAAAUAGUAGAGACUAUUUUGGACUAAAUUUUGAAAUGAAGUAAGUAUUUAAUGAAAUAUACACCAUCAUUACUAUUACCACAUGAGUAGUAUAUUAUAAUUAAAAUUUUAAUUAUAGUGGGGCAUAGACCUACAUAGUUGUGUAUGUAGCUCCGUCUCUGUGAAUAACAUGUUUAUUUUUUAGAAAAAAGAAGAAGAAACAACAUUUAAAUACUUAGAUAAAGAAGAAACAACGUUUAAUUUGAAUACCUUUUAGUACAAAGAAGAAGAAAGACGAGUUGUAUGGAAGAAGAAGACAGACGAUUUCGUAGGAUGUGGAAGAGAGAGAGAGAUAUUAGGGUUUUGUAAUUUGAGCGAGAGGACUGAAGUUUGAUAACUUUGCUUAUAUAUAUGUAAAACUUAUCACCGUCGUUGGCAAGAAAAACCGUGAUAAACUGUCAGUACUAUCCACAAUGGUUCCUGGUACUAACCGGGGUGAUAAAUAUUCUAAUUUUAAUAUAUUUAUAAGACGAUAUGGACAAACUCUUUUUGUAACGAUAAAAAAAUUGUUUGUGCUGGGAUUCGAAGCAUGUAACCUUUCAUCUAUAAUCACAGUUGUUAUUAUGAACCGUGAAGAAAUGUCUUUUAAUAAAAUAUAAAAAAAUUCAGGUGCAUUAAGAUAAGUUAUUACAACGGUUGCUUAAACGGCCUUGGUAAUAUGGUGUUAAGAAAGGUAUAUUUUGUAGUAGUGUAUUUUCCCACGGUGGAUGCUACUUGUUGUAAAAUUGAAAGGUUCAACCACACCAUGAUUUUUUGUUGAAAAAGUCUAACAAUAAUAUUAAUCACGUGAUAAAUAUUGAUGUGUGGGACAAAGAACAAUGAAAAAUAAAAAUAAAUAUCCUCAAGAAAAAAAUCAUCUGCCAAACAAUGAAGGCAAAUCCACAAUAAACAAGAGAAAAUUAAAAUACUAGUAAAAAUAAUUCGUCCUAAUAAAUUUUUUUAAUGCAUUAGGCAUUUCAUUAUACUUAACAAAAAUUUAAAUAGCAAAAAUUAAAAUACUAGUAAAAAUAAUUCGUCCUAAUAAAUUUUUUUAAUGCAUUAGGCAUUUCAUUAUACUUAACAAAAAUUUAAAUAGCACAAUAAUAUUAAAUAUUGUUAAUAGAAUAUAACAAAAGCCAAUAUCACAUGGAUCAUAUAUAAACCAUUCCACUUCUUGAUAACAGUGAAAUUGUUUUAACUAACAAUAGAUAAGUAGAAUGCUAAUAUAUUUCACUUCUUUUCUAAUCAACUUCAUGGAAUCCAGGACAAUGAUAGGCAAAAUACUGAAAUAAGACUCUAAGGGAUUGGGCACCUAGAAGUAUUGGCCAUAUUCCUCUAAACUUUUCUUCUUUUUUCUGCAAAAUGAUUUUGUCCAUAAUUCAAACAUAAAGCUCACACAUGCCACGUAUUGAGACGCAUGCAGGAUUAACACCAAACAACUACUCAAAAGGAUGCUAAAGUCUACAAUAACUAUACUUAAUUUCUCAAAUGGUGAUGUAACCUAAUAACACUUUGCAAGCUAUAAUAUAAAGAAUGUGACCUACACAUAUAACUCAUACUUGCUACACACAUUGAAUAUUGUUAACUUCAGCAUUCAACCAAUACUUUCUACACACGUAGGAAAAUUAAUUUGCUUGUGUUUAUGCCAAAAACUAAUAAAAUAGGGUAAAUAUAAAAGGCAUAAUAAUGCAUAAUGAAAUUGAAAGAGAAUUGUUACUUCAAUAAACAGAAAAUGCUAAAAGGUGUUUCUUUCUACAAAAACUCAAUUCGUCAACUAUCAUUCCUUGAGCGACCAAACAUAACAUUAAUAUUAUUAAAAAAAAGGAGUUAAAACGGUCAAAUGGAGGAGGAAGAAGAAACUCACACUUUAUUUCUGAGUUUUAGAUUGACCAAAGUGUUAAGGAACACAUUCUAAGUAGUUAGGUCUUGCGAAUUAAUCAAUAUGAAAUAAGAUCUAAUUCCACACCAAUUGAUAUGUUAAAGAAAUCAAAGAUUAUAAAAAUAAAAUUAUUCCUUUCAAUCUAUAGACAUGACAGACAGGGAGGUUGAGAAAGGUGGUAACAUCAAGGAGCAAACGAGAUAGAUGGUGGGUUAAAUGAUCAGAAUUAAUUGAAAAUGUAAAGCUAAUUUACAUUUUGUUUGGUCCAUUGAGGAGGCAAGCAUAAGUCCAUUAAUUGGCAGUUGUUUCCCAUGAUAUGGUAGGAGACUAGUAUAAGUCCAUUGAUUGGCAUCUGGUAUCCAUGUUUGUUUUUGUUUUAGGAGAUUGGUAUAAGUCCAUUGAUUGGCUUCCAGUAUCCAUUUUUGCUUUAGGAGAUUGGUAUAAGUCCAUUGAUUGGCUUCCGGUAUCCAUUUUUGUUUUGGGAGAUUGGUAUAAGUCCAUUGAUUGGCUUCCGGUAUCCAUUUUUGUUUUGGGAGAUUGGUAUAAGUCCAUUGAUUGGCAUCCGGUAUCCAGUUUUGUUUUGGGAGAUUGGUAUAAGUCCAUUGAUUGGCAUUCGGUAUCCAUCUUGUUAUUUGCUUAUNAAUUUGUCAAUUUGAUCAAGAUAAACCAAAGGGCUUGAGGAUUGUUUCCCAAGGAAACCCUAAUUCAACUGUGCAUUGACUGUGCCUUGCUCAUGAAGCAACCUCAACCCAUGAUCAAAUACAAUAAAGGUAAGCUCUUUCAUUCAUAAUUUUAUGCAUAUAUGAACUCAUGUGAGUGUCCUCAAUCAUCCAUUCAUCAAGAUUUGAAGUUUGGACUUGAGAAGUUUAUCAGUCAAUUCAUCUGACUAUUUUGAAAUCCACUGAGACCUAACUUUUGAUGUGUUUGUCAAAUGAAGAUGACCCCAAGAUAAAAUAUGUUCUUAAGGACCAUAUGAACAACUUUUAUGUUCAUAAAAAAUGGAUUUGAAACUUGUAAGGUCAUUAUUCAUUUCAAAACAUUAUAGAUCAUUUUGAUUGAAACCCUAAUUUUGGGUCAACUUCCCAAGGACCUAACUCACUCAUUUUUAAUGAUUUUGAGGUGGGAUCAAAUGAAUUAGAAACUUUAAGAUGUCUAAUUCAAUUGUUAUGUUGGAAAAAUUUUCAUAAUCCUAAAAUAAACACAUGUGAUAAUGCAAAACAUUAUAGGUCACUGUGGACCAAAGUCAUUGAAAUGUAAAAAAGUCCAACAUUAAGUGCCCAUAACUUUCUCAUCAAAAAUCCAAAUGAUGCAAACUUUAAGUCCAAAUUUAUUUUCUUGAAAAUAUAUACACCUUUUAUGUUGAAGGUUUUGUCAUUUGAGGCUUGCAUCAUUGAAACAUAAGGGCUUGAAGUUGGUCCAUUUUGGCAAAAUUCACAUACACAUGUUUUGCACCUUGAACUUCAUGAAUAGUUUUCAUAAAUUUCCCAACUCCAAAUGGAUUUUUAUUCAACAUAACAUUUGUUCCUCAUGUCAAUACCUUUCCAACCAUUACCCACAUGGCUAUGUUUCAAUUUGGCAAAGUGCAUUUUCGAAGAGGAGAAGAUUUAUGUUCAUUUAUGGAAACAAUGUUAAAACUUAGUGCGCACUCCAUUGCAAUGCCAUGUACACAUCCAAAACACUCCAAUUACACUUCAGCUUGCAUUUGCCAUCAAGUUUGGUCCUCCCAUGCGCCUGUACAGGCCCAUGCAUGGAGGCCCUUAUUCCACAUGCACACGAGUUUGCCAUUGCUUGCAUCAGCUUUCACUAUAAAUACAGAUGCUUGGCUUCAUUCAAUUCCAACCUUAAGAUGCUUGCAUCAGCUUUCACUAUAAAUACAGAUGCUUGGCUUCAUUCAAUUCCAACCUUAAGGCGCCUAACACUCUGUAGAAUUGAAAUCCUACCCUUCACUCAAAGGAAUUUUGAAUUUUCUUCUUCUAUUUUUCAGUUCAAUUUUCAACUUUCUUGGUUGAUCAUUGAGCUUCAAUUCCUAAGCCUAGCUACUUUGCCAUCUCAAGAUCAUAUUGCAUCAAAGAAUUGGAAGAGAUCGUGCCUUGUAAAGUUGCACUUCAAAGGUUGUUGUUCAAACUUUUUGAUUCGAAACUCCCUGGAUAUUGCUCAUUUCUUGUGUUUGUUGGUUCCUCUGAAGUCCUCAUGUGAGAGGCAAUUGAUCUGUGCAUUCAAUUUCAUGAAUUGAUCAAGUUCAGUUUGAACACCAUGAAUUUCUAUCUAAGAUUUCUCCUUCUAUGAGAGUCUAGAGUAGAAACCAAUGGCACAAGGGUGACGUACAUCACCCCAGCUUUCCAAUGAUUUGAGGAUCGUGCGUUUUGGUGAGGUUUUUAAAACAUGUAACUCUUGCCGGAGCUGGCUUGCUCGCCGGAGAAGACGGUGGUGUACACCACCGUCCCCCACGCCAGAUUGCAUCUAGACCAUUGAAUGUUGUUUCUAGAUUGAAUCACAGCCAUGCAAUGUUAUGACUUUUUUAAAUGCAUUAUGUUUCUCUUUCGACCAAGGCCUUUGGUGACCGCACGCUUUAUAGACUCUUGAUUAGCCACAUCAUUUAAUGAAUAUGAUCAGACGCUCCAGGCUUUUUCUUAAUUUCUGAAUUUCAUUUUAUUUUCUUUUAUUUCCUUUUAUUUCAAAAAUGCAUAUCUUCUUCAUUUUAAAUCCAAAAAAUAUGGGACCAAUUACAUUAUUUCAUUUUUUAAUUCUAGUUUCUGAAAAUGAUUUUUAAUAUUUUUUAUGAUGUCAUUUAAUAUUUUUUGUGAAUUUUCUAUUUUCUGGUUAUUUUUAAUUCAUUUUAAAUAGUUUCCAAUAUUCAAAAAAUGCAAAAAUAUUUUCUUAACACCUUUGAAUGAUGAUGAAUCUAUGAAAAAUAUUCUCAUCAAUUUCUUAAUUGAUUUGAGAUUUAUUUGAGAUUUUAGUUCAAUUAUGUCAUAUUUUCUUCAUUUUUAAUUAUUUAAAAUUAGUUUUUGUUUUCAAAAAAUGAUGAAAAAAUUUGUCAAACCUUGUUUGACCUUGUUGAACUUAUGAUGAUCUAUUUGGACUUUUCCAAGUUGAUUUGAAAUGGAUUUGAAGUUUGACCUUUAUUUGUUUAUUUUAAUUCAAGUAUUAUUUUAAUUCUCAAAAAAUACCAAAAAUAUUU